rnacentral:rRNA from 1 species
UGGGGAAUUUUGGACAAUGGGCGAAAGCCUGAUCCAGCAAUGCCGCGUGAGUGAAGAAGGCCUUCGGGUUGUAAAGCUCUUUUGUCAGGGAAGAAACGGUGAGGGCUAAUAUCCCUUGCUAAUGACGGUACCUGAAGAAUAAGCACCGGCUAACUACGUGACAGCAGCCGCGGGAAUACGUAGGGUGCAAGCGUUAAUCGGAAUUACUGGGCGUAAAGCGUGCGCAGGCGGUUUUGUAAGUCUGAUGUGAAAUCCCCGGGCUCAACCUGGGAAUUGCAUUGGAGACUGCAAGGCUAGAAUCUGGCAGAGGGGGGUAGAAUUCCACGUGUAGCAGUGAAAUGCGUAGAUAUGUGGAGGAACACCGAUGGCGAAGGCAGCCCCCUGGGUCAAGAUUGACGCUCAUGCACGAAAGCGUGGGGAGCAAACA